rnacentral:pre_miRNA from 1 species
CGCAAUUAGAGCAGGAGCAAGCAUCUGAUGACGGAAAAAAGGGUAAAAAGAUGGAAAAGAAGAUGGAAAAAAGGGUAAUUCUUCAAUUCUAUCUGUUCUGUUUUUAGUUAGAUCUGUUCUUACCAAUGCAGUCUUCCA